AUUGAACGCUGGCGGCAUGCCUUACACAUGCAAGUCGAACGGCAGCACGGGAGCAAUCCUGGUGGCGAGUGGCGAACGGGUGAGUAAUACAUCGGAACGUGCCCAAUCGUGGGGGAUAACGCAGCGAAAGCUGUGCUAAUACCGCAUACGAUCUACGGAUGAAAGCAGGGGAUCGCAAGACCUUGCGCGAAUGGAGCGGCCGAUGGCAGAUUAGGUAGUUGGUGAGGUAAAGGCUCACCAAGCCGUCGAUCUGUAGCUGGUCUGAGAGGACGACCAGCCACACUGGGACUGAGACACGGCCCAGACUCCUACGGGAGGCAGCAGUGGGGAAUUUUGGACAAUGGGCGAAAGCCUGAUCCAGCCAUGCCGCGUGCAGGAUGAAGGCCUUCGGGUUGUAAACUGCUUUUGUACGGAACGAAACGGCCUUUUCUAAUAAAGAGGGCUAAUGACGGUACCGUAAGAAUAAGCACCGGCUAACUACGUGCCAGCAGCCGCGGUAAUACGUAGGGUGCAAGCGUUAAUCGGAAUUACUGGGCGUAAAGCGUGCGCAGGCGGUUAUGUAAGACAGUUGUGAAAUCCCCGGGCUCAACCUGGGAACUGCACCUGUGACUGCAUAGCUAGAGUACGGUAGAGGGGGAUGGAAUUCCGCGUGUAGCAGUGAAAUGCGUAGAUAUGCGGAGGAACACCGAUGGCGAAGGCAAUCCCCUGGACCUGUACUGACGCUCAUGCACGAAAGCGUGGGGAGCAAACAGG
rnacentral:rRNA from 1 species